rnacentral:tRNA from 1 species
ACUUAAAAAGUUUUAUUAAACGUUAAACUGUCAGUUUAAAAUAGCUUUAAAAGCUUUAAGUA